rnacentral:rRNA from 1 species
CGCAAGCCUGACGGAGCAAGACCGCGUGCGGGAUGACGGCCUAAUGGUUGUAAACCGCUUUUCUCUGGGAAGAUGAUGACGGUACCAGAGGAAUCAGCCUCGGCUAACUCCGUGCCAGCAGCCGCGGUAAUACGGAGGAGGCAAGCGUUAUCCGGAAUUAUUGGGCGUAAAGCGUCCGCAGGCGGUUUUUCAAGUCUGCUGUUAAAGGCUGGGGCUUAACCCCGGACAGGCAGUGGAAACUGGGAGACUAGAGUGCGGUAGGGGUAGAGGGAAUUCCCAGUGUAGCGGUGAAAUGCGUAGAUAUUGGGAAGAACACCAGUGGCGAAGGCGCUCGACUGGGCCUGCACUGACACUGAGGGACGAAAGCUAGGGGAGCG